UAAUGUGAAUUGCAGAAUUCAGUGAAUCAUCGAAUCUUUGAACGCACCUUGCCGCUCCUUGGUAUUCCGAGGAGCAUGCCUGUUUGAGUGUCAUU
rnacentral:rRNA from 1 species